AUUGAACGCUGGCGGCAUGCUUUACACAUGCAAGUCGAACGGCAGCGCGGGCUUCGGCCUGGCGGCGAGUGGCGAACGGGUGAGUAAUACAUCGGAACGUGCCCAGUAGUGGGGGAUAGCUCGGCGAAAGCCGGAUUAAUACCGCAUACGACCUGAGGGUGAAAGCGGGGGAUCUUCGGAGCUCGCGCUAUUGGAGCGGCCGAUGGCAGAUUAGCUAGUUGGUGGGGUAAAGGCCUACCAAGGCGACGAUCUGUAGCUGGUCUGAGAGGACGACCAGCCACACUGGGACUGAGACACGGCCCAGACUCCUACGGGAGGCAGCAGUGGGGAAUUUUGGACAAUGGGCGAAAGCCUGAUCCAGCAAUGCCGCGUGUGUGAUGAAGGCCUUCGGGUUGUAAAGCACUUUUGGCGGGAACGAAAAGGACUGUGCCAAUACCACGGUUCGAUGACGGUACCCGCAGAAUAAGCACCGGCUAACUACGUG
rnacentral:rRNA from 1 species